AAGACACAAAAUAUUGCAGCAUAAACACACCUAAUGGAUUCUGUUAGAGUGACUAUAUCCUAAAUACAGGUUUUCUAGGGUGGCCAGGUUUAAAAGAUCACAAUCAAGGAAAAAACAACCUAUGCAUAUGAUUCUUAAGUACAAGAUUUAGCUGGUCAAAUAGCAUGUAUUCAUCUAAGUGUUAAGGAGAAUAUAUGGGGUACUACAUGUUUAUUAUCACAUACAUAUAUAGCUAUAUGUGCUAGAGUUCACAUUUGAGGUAAUUGAGUCUAAAUGAAAAAGUAUCGCACAAGGAUUCCCAGAAUAUCAUACCAACAGCAAAAUCACAACAAAAUUAGAUUAGCACAUAAUUUGACAUAGUACUGCAAUCCACAAAUUUUAGAGGACAAAGACCCUAAGUCAUGUUUUCUAAACAUUUUCACAUAGCAAUGGCAUAAAGAGUGCAUGUAGGCAUGAAUGAAUGAAGGGAAUAGUCUACAACAUGCUUGCACUGACAAAUAGAUAUUUGAAUUGCAGAACUAAGGGUACUAACUAGUUGAAAAGAGAAACGGGCAAAAAUGAGAAAACAAAAUUCCAGAAGUGAUUAGUGAGAAUUGCGAUUGAAGAAAAGAAGUGAUAACCCUCAGGGACUCUGGCAUUUCAGAGUUCACAGAAGCUUUAGUGGCUCCGAGCAGUGCUUGUGCCAGAGAAAGUUAUUGAGUAAUACCACAGUGACCUUGGCUUUUAGCCGGUCAUGAACAAAAUCAAACACAAUAGUUUUCAACAAACCAACAAAAAAUAGAACAAAUGCGAUUGAGGAGGAACAUAUAUCCAAAUGGAAAAUUUGGGAGGGUUUAUAUAGUACUUGAUUCACACAAAUAAAAAAGGAAAACAUACAAAUUAAAUCACAAACCAAAGGAAAGAAUCAUAUGCAAAAAAUUUUGAAUUAGAUUAGGGAAAAAUAUAUACAGAAGGUCAAUAAACAAUCCAGGUUACUAGAGGAGCAUGGAUUUACUCCUCAAUAUAUCAAGCUAUGAUUGUGUGUAUAAUAAAAGAUCCAAAACCACGUAGAAUCAUAAAAUUUGAUACUUGCGAUGUUCAGGCAAGUAUUAUCAGGUCUUCGUACAUUGUCUUGCCAUAAAAGGACAAGUUCCACAUAAACUAAGGAGCCAAGAAAAUUAAUAGCGUCGUAGGGGAACCGCGGUUCGAUUCCAAUUCAGGAAAGGAAGGGGAAGAUACCAUGUCGGCUAGGUGUAGGGUUUACAGACGAGAGGAUUUGGGGGCAGCUUAAAUGGAAUACGGGGAUUAGGGUUUUGGGUAAGGGGAUACAAAAGGGAAGAAGGGGUCUACUUUGGGAUGUUGAUCUUAAAAGAUCAAAAACUGAGAUUUUAAGG
rnacentral:lncRNA from 1 species